rnacentral:tRNA from 1 species
UCGAAAGGUGGCUGAUUUAAAAGGUGACGGGUUGUAGCCCUGUUUAUGGAUUUUUCCUCUUUUGAU